GAUGAACGCUGGCGGCGUGCCUAAUACAUGCAAGUCGAGCGAACGGACGAGAAGCUUGCUUUUCUGAUGUUAGCGGCGGACGGGUGAGUAACACGUGGAUAACCUACCUAUAAGACUGGGAUAACUUCGGGAAACCGGAGCUAAUACCGGAUAAUAUUUUGAACCGCAUGGUUCAAAAGUGAAAGACGGUCUUGCUGUCACUUAUAGAUGGAUCCGCGCUGCAUUAGCUAGUUGGUAAGGUAACGGCUUACCAAGGCAACGAUGCAUAGCCGACCUGAGAGGGUGAUCAGCCACACUGGAACUGAGACACGGUCCAGACUCCUACGGGAGGCAGCAGUAGGGAAUCUUCCGCAAUGGGCGAAAGCCUGACGGAGCAACGCCGCGUGAGUGAUGAAGGUCUUCGGAUCGUAAAACUCUGUUAUUAGGGAAGAACAUAUGUGUAAGUAACCGUGCACAUCUUGACGGUACCUAAUCAGAAAGCCACGGCUAACUACGUG
rnacentral:rRNA from 1 species